rnacentral:rRNA from 1 species
GCCUAACACAUGCAAGUCGAGCGGAAACGAUCCUAGCUUGCUAGGAGGCGUCGAGCGGCGGACGGGUGAGUAACGCGUAGGAAUCUGCCUAGUAGUGGGGGAUAGCUCGGGGAAACUCGAAUUAAUACCGCAUACGCCCUACGGGGGAAAGCGGGGGACCUUCGGGCCUCGCGCUAUCAGAUGAGCCUGCGUUGGAUUAGCUUGUUGGUGAGGUAAAGGCUCACCAAGGCGACGAUCUUUAGCUGGUCUGAGAGGAUGAUCA